rnacentral:rRNA from 1 species
AAUUAACGCUGAUGGUAUGCCUAAUACAUGCAAGUCGAGCGAAUCUUCGGAUUAGCGGCGAACGGGUGAGUAAUACAUAUCUAACAUACCUCAAAGAAGGGGAUAGCCGCUCGAAAGGGCGAUUAAUACCCUAUAGCAGCCCUCGACCACCGGUCGAGAGCUCUAAAGGAGAAAUCCGCUUUGGAAUUGGGAUAUGCUCUAUUAGCUAGUUGGCGGGAUAAUAGCCCCCCAAGGCGAUGAUAGAUAGCUGGAUUGAGAAGUUGAACAGCCACAAUGGGAUUGAGAUACGGCCCAUAUUCCUACGGGAAGCAGCAGUAGGGAAUCUUCCACAAUGGGCGAAAGCCUGAUGGAGCAAUACCAUGUGAACGACGAAGGUCUUAUUGAUUGUAAAGUUCUUUUAAGAGGGAAAAUACAAGAUGGUACCUCUUGAAUAAGUGACAGCAAACUAUGUGCCAGCAGCUGCGGUAAUACAUAGGUCGCGAGCGUUAUU